rnacentral:rRNA from 1 species
GACGAACGCUGGCGGCGUGCUUAACACAUGCAAGUCGAACGGAUCACAUUGCUUCGGUUUUGUGGUGAGUGGCGAACGGGUGAGUAACACGUGAGUAACCUGCCCCCUUCUUUGGGAUAACGUCGGGAAAUCGGCGCUAAUACUGGAUAUUCUGGCUGCUUCGCAUGGGGUGGUUGGGAAAGGUUUUUCUGGUGGGGGAUGGGCUCGCGGCCUAUCAGCUUGUUGGUGGGGUGAUGGCCUACCAAGGCGGUGACGGGUAGCCGGCCUGAGAGGGUGUCCGGCCACACUGGGACUGAGACACGGCCCAGACUCCUACGGGAGGCAGCAGUGGGGAAUAUUGCACAAUGGGCGGAAGCCUGAUGCAGCGACGCCGCGUGAGGGAUGACGGCCUUCGGGUUGUAAACCUCUUUCAGUACAGAACAAGGCUCUUUCGGGGGUUGAGGGUAUGUGCAGAAGAAGCGCCGGCUAACUACGUG